rnacentral:rRNA from 1 species
GAUGAACGCUAGCUACAGGCUUAACACAUGCAAGUCGAGGGGAAACGACAUCAAAAGCUUGCUUUUGAUGGGCGUCGACCGGCGCACGGGUGAGUAACGCGUAUCCAACCUGCCCACCACUUGGGGAUAACCUUGCGAAAGUAAGACUAAUACCCAAUGAUAUCUCUAGAAGACAUCUGAAAGAGAUUAAAGAUUUAUCGGUGAUGGAUGGGGAUGCGUCUGAUUAGCUUGUUGGCGGGGUAACGGCCCACCAAGGCGACGAUCAGUAGGGGUUCUGAGAGGAAGGUCCCCCACAUUGGAACUGAGACACGGUCCAAACUCCUACGGGAGGCAGCAGUGAGGAAUAUUGGUCAAUGGGCGAGAGCCUGAACCAGCCAAGUAGCGUGCAGGAUGACGGCCCUAUGGGUUGUAAACUGCUUUUAUAAGGGAAUAAAGUGAGAGUCGUGACUCUUUUUGCAUGUACCUUAUGAAUAAGGACCGGCUAAUUCCGUGCCAGCAGCCGACGG